GAUGAACGCUAGCGGGAGGCUUAACACAUGCAAGUCGAGGGGCAGCACGAGAUAGCAAUAUUUUGGUGGCGACCGGCGCACGGGUGAGUAACACGUAUGCAACCUACCCUGUACAGGGGGAUAACCCGGAGAAAUUCGGACUAAUAUCCCAUAAAGAUAAUGAUGGGCAUCCAUUAUUAUUUAAAGCUCAGGCGGUACGGGAUGGGCAUGCGGAACAUUAGCUAGUUGGUAGGGUAACGGCCUACCAAGGCUACGAUGUUUAGGGGACCUGAGAGGGUGAUCCCCCACACUGGUACUGAGACACGGACCAGACUCCUACGGGAGGCAGCAGUGAGGAAUAUUGGUCAAUGGGCGCGAGCCUGAACCAGCCAUCCCGCGUGAAGGAAGAAGGCGCUAUGCGUCGUAAACUUCUUUUCCAGGGAGUGAAUUUUCCGGUCGUGACCGGAAUUGACGGUACCCUGGGAAUAAGCAUCGGCUAACUCCGUGCCAGCCGCCGCGGUAAUAC
rnacentral:rRNA from 1 species